AUGACGAUCCUGAGCUGGAACUGUCGAGGCCUCGGGCAACCUCGAACAGUUCAGGAACUCGUGUGCCUCGUGCACACAUACAAGCCCAAGCUCGUCUUCCUCUCUGAAACUCGGCAAAAUAAUAGGUAUGUCAAAAAUCUCAAGUGGAGGCUCGGCCUCCGUAACUGUAUCGUGCAGCCCGGUAUCGGAAAACAUGCCGGCAUUGCCCCCUUUUAUGAUGAG
rnacentral:rRNA from 1 species